GGGGGUGCAAGCGUUGUCCGGAAUCAUUGGGUGUAAAGCGUUCGUAGGCGGCACGUCAAGUUUGGUGUUAAAGCCCGGGGCUCAACUCCGGUUCUGCAUUGAAUACUGGCGAGCUAGAAUGCGGUAGAGGUGAUGGGAAUUCCUGGUGUAGCGGUGAAAUGCGUAGAUAUCAGGAGGAACACCGGUGGCGAAAGCGCAUCACUGGGCCGUUAUUGACGCUGAGGAACGAAAGCCAGGGGAGCAAA
rnacentral:rRNA from 1 species